rnacentral:rRNA from 1 species
UACGUAGGCAGCGAGCGUUGUUCGGAAUUACUGGGCGUAAAGAGUGCGUAGGCGGUGCUCUAAGUUUGGUGUGAAAUCUCCCGGCUUAACCGGGAGGGUGCGCCGAAGACUGGAGUGCUUGAGUGUGGGAGAGGAAAGAGGAAUUCCUGGUGUAGCGGUGAAAUGCGUAGAUAUCAGGAGGAACACCUGCGGUGUAGGCGGCUUUCUGGACCAAGACUGACGCUGAGGCGCGAAAGCGUGGGUAGCAAACAGG